AUGAUUAGGUCUGCUUACAAAUCAAUAUAUUUCUUCGAAGAUGUCUCCAGAUGUUCUAUAGGUAAGUUUUCUCUCCUACAUUCCAUUCUGUGGAAAACAACAAGCACCUGCCUUGGUUUUCUCGGGCUUCUUCGAGUUUUGAUGCAAACCAAACACAACUAGCUGCAACACUAUUCACAUUAAAACGGGCAAAUGAUUUCUUGCAGUAAAAGCGAUGAAGUAAUACUUGACUAGUGGCCAUUACAGCUUGAGGUAAUCUGAGCAAAAUCCCACUUUCUUGGAUGAGAUCACAACCAUAGAUUCGAAGUGUUGUUUCAGUAACUUCAUCAAUUCCAUCUUUCCAAGAAGGCGAGUUU
rnacentral:lncRNA from 1 species